CUUAUCUGUACUGUUUGCCGGCUUGCUGUUUUCCGUGUACCAGACCCCGGCUUGUCCUAGUUUACGCUGUCUCUCUGUGCCCUUGACCUCGGUUUGUUUCUGGCUCUGUCUCCUCUCAUAUACGUCGAGUCCGGCCAUUCUAAGGUCCGGUAGACGUAUCUCUCCUCUGUAUUUGCCUCUGUUUAGCUGGAUCCUGCGUGUAGGGGUAUAUUCUCGUUACAUUACGAUAGGGCCAUGGACCCCGCAGAUUUAGCUCAAC